UUGCUCCUGCUGACGAGCGGCGGACGGGUGAGUAACGCGUAGGAAUCUGCCUAGUAGAGGGGGACAACAUGUGGAAACGCAUGCUAAUACCGCAUACGCCCUAAGGGGGAAAGGAGGGGACUCUUCGGAGCCUUCCGCUAUUAGAUGAGCCUGCGUGAGAUUAGCUAGUUGGUAGGGUAAAGGCCUACCAAGGCGACGAUCUCUAACUGGUCUGAGAGGAUGACCAGUCACACUGGGACUGAGACACGGCCCAGACUCCUACGGGAGGCAGCAGUGGGGAAUAUUGGACAAUGGGCGCAAGCCUGAUCCAGCCAUGCCGCGUGUGUGAAGAAGGCCUUAGGGUUGUAAAGCACUUUCAGGGGUGAGGAAGGGUAAUGGAUUAAUACUUCAUUACUUUGACGUUAGCCCCAGAAGAAGCACCGGCUAACUCUGUGCCAGCAGCCGCGGUAAUACAGAGGGUGCAAGCGUUAAUCGGAAUUACUGGGCGUAAAGCGCGCGUAGGUGGUUUGUUAAGUCGGAUGUGAAAUCCCAGGGCUCAACCUUGGAAUGGCACCCGAUACUGGCUAGCUAGAGUAUGGUAGAGGGGUGUGGAAUUUCCUGUGUAGCGGUGAAAUGCGUAGAUAUAGGAAGGAACAUCAGUGGCGAAGGCGA
rnacentral:rRNA from 1 species